UCUUAUGGAAGAGCAGAGGAGGUAGAUUCUUGAAAUAGAAUCUACUUUUGAUGAAGGUGCUGUGAA
rnacentral:pre_miRNA from 1 species